rnacentral:misc_RNA from 1 species
GAAAGAGAGAGAGAGAGAGAAGAAAACCAGUUACAAUGCAUUGAUAUCAAAACUGGAAGGAGGCACUUGCCUUGUCCUUUCUGUAGCAUAUGAAGAUGUAACAUCUCCAAUACAACACUCACCCCACUAAGAUUGGUUAGUGGAAAAUAGAAAAUUUCAAUGUUUUAGGCAUCUGAUAAGCAGGGGGUGCUUAUUGAAGAAAAUUCCUCAUAUGUUUUAAGCACAAGUCGUAACUCCGUCUAAGUAGUUUGCGC